CCCCACAUAGCAAAGUUUCAU
rnacentral:siRNA from 1 species